rnacentral:lncRNA from 1 species
CCAAACUGUGAUAGUCAUGAGCUAAGGUUAAGCUUGGUGCUUCCUCUUUGUUUCUUUUAUUUUCUUUGUUGUUGAAGAAUAAUGGAUAGUUUCUAAAUACUGAGAAGUGAGUCUAUGGAAUAAAUCAGAGAUUGAUUUAUGAGUUAUUGAUUAUGUAAUUGGAGUACUGAGUGAUUGAAUUAUAUGAAAAGUUAUUGAAAGAUUGAUUAUGGAAGGAAGAUUAUGAUUGUUGUUUAACAAGAGUUGUAUGUGUGUAUUUUGACAGAGGAAGUCUGUGAUUAUAGGAAUUUUGUGAAUUCAGAUUGGUUAGAGUAAAGUCUGUUAUUUCUGGUGUUGGAUGGAAUUCAUUGAGUUUUGAGCGGUCUUUUGAGAGUGCACAGUUGCACAUUGUGGUUAUCAGUUGAUGGAAGAGUAUUGUUACUGGGAGGAAGCAUUGUAGUGUUUCUUAGUAUUUUAGUGGUUCGGAAUACAGUUAAUUGUGUGACCCUAACAAGUGAAA